UACGGGGGAGCAAGCGUUGUUCGGAUUUACUGGGCGUAAAGGGCGCGUAGGCGGCCACUGCAAGUCGGUUGUGAAAUCUCCGGGCUUAACCCGGAAAGGUCAACCGAUACUGCAGGGCUAGAGUGCAGAAGGGGCAACUGGAAUUCUCGGUGUAGCGGUGAAAUGCGUAGAUAUCGAGAGGAACACCUGCGGCGAAGGCGGUUGCUGGGCUGACACUGACGCUGAUGCGACGAAGCUAGGGGAGCGAACGGG
rnacentral:rRNA from 1 species